ACCAGACGACUUCUGAAGUACUUCCGGUCAUCCCUGUUAGUUGCUCUCUUCUUCAACCAUCAGCAUAAGUUUCUCAUCUGUCAGCUAGUUCUGGUUCCUUUUCUUUCUUUAGUGGCCUUGCUCUAUUCACCACCUUUAUUUCAUCAUUUGUGUUCUUUCCAUCUAAACUUCUUUUACCCAGGUAACAAGGGCUAUUAGUGUACCGUUGGUGAAAACUCCAAAUAAUACUUGUACUUUCUCCAUUUGUUUUUAUUAUGGUUAGUGCUAAAGGUUCUUUGUACUCUGGUGAACAGAAAUUGUUUGCAAUUUGCCUCAGUCUUUUUUUUUUUUUAAUUUUUUCAAUUACAGUUGACAUUAAAUAUUACAUUAGUUUCAGGUAUAUAUCAUAAUGGUUAGCUACUUAAUAUAAUUUACUAUUGAUCCCCCUCAAUAAAUCUAGUACCCAAGAAGCACCAUACAUACUUACUACAAUAUUGUAGACUAUAUUCCCUAUGCUGUACUUUACAUCCCCAUGCCUGUUCUGUAACUACCAAUUUAUACUUCUUAAUCCCUUCACUUUUUUCAUUCAGUCCCCCAACCCCCCUCCCUUUUAGCAACUGUCAUUUUGUUCUCUGUAUCUAUGAGUCUGUUUCUGUUAAUUUUUGUAGGUUCCACAUAUAAGUGAAAGCGUAUCAUAUUUGUCUUUCUCUGACUUACUUCACUUAGCAUAAUACUCUAGGUUCAUUCAUGCUGUCAUAGUUGGUAAGAUUUCAUUAUUUUUUAUGACUGAGUAAUAUUCCAUUGUAUGUAUGUGCCACAUCUUUAUCCAGUCAUCUAUUGAUGGACACUUAGGUUGCGUCCAUAUCUUGGCUAUUGUAAAUAAUGCUGCAGUGAACAUAGGGAUGCAUAUAUCUUUCUGAAUUAGUGUUUUGGAUUUCUUUGGGUAAUACCUAGAAGUGGAAUUGCUGUUCCAUUUUUAAUUUUUGAGGAACCUCCAUACUGUUUUCCAUAGCAGCUGCAUUAGAAUUCCUACAAACAGUGCAUGGGGGUUCCCUUUUCUCCACAUCCUUGCCAACACUUGUUGUUUGUUGAUUUAUUGAUGAUAGCCAUUCUGACAGGUGUGAUGUGAUAUCUCAUUAUGGUUUUAAUUUGCAUUUCUCUGAUGAUUAGAGAUGUUGAACAUCAUUUCAUAUGUUCUCCUGGGAGAAAUAUCUAUUCAAGUCCUCUGCCCAUUUUUUAAUUGGAUUGUUUUGGUUUUUUGGUGUUAGGCUGCAUGACCUAACAGUCUUUUAAUUGUUAAAUUCAUAAAUUUAUUUGUGCAGUUCAGAGUGGCGCACCCUCUGCUUUAUUACCCAGCCUCUGGGCUCUCACUGUAGUAGCCCUCUUAUCUUCCAUUGGUGGGGGACAGAUGUUCCACACAUUUCUGGUUUCCAGCUAACUAAAGCGUAUUUCUUUUUACAUUUCAAUUUUAAGUUUUCUGAUGGUCUAAAAAAAGAUAAUAGAUGUGUAAAAAUGUAUUUUCCUGUCUUAAAUAAGGUACAUGGAACAUAAUUUAUUGUACUGUGCUGCAAUAUAUUGAUGUCUCCUGGUAGUGGGCAUGUAGCUUUUUGACGAAUUGAGGAAAUGUUUGUUUUACAUUUUUUAGAGUUUUUGUGUGUGUGUGUGUGUGUCUCCCUACCCCUUUUCUAUUUGUCUUCUGCCUUGAGUGGUUCCUGUUCCCCUCCUAAUGCGUUGGAUCUGCCCUACUCUGAGGAGGCAAGUUUGUUAGAAUUGCGUAAAGUGUAAAAGGGACAGAGGAGCAUAGGUGUAGAUUUGUGUGUUUUAUUAAUGUUGUAUUUUUUGAGGAAUAUUUUGACGUCUAAAUAAGUGAACUAUUUCUAUUUUUUCCACUUUUUAAUUUUUUCUGAAUUAUUUACUACAAAUCAAAAUCACUUUUCCCUUUUAUGUUUUUAAUUUAUUUUUUACUCUUCUUUUAUCAUAUGGACAACUUGAAGUAAGCCAUAAAUUUAAGAUGGCAUUGCCCGCUGCUUCAUUACCUUCCUUUUUUCUUUGUCUAGUUAUUUUUAGCUUUCAUUUUGGGCAAAGUGAGAAUUUUCAAGAUUUUUUUCUGUCACCUCAUAGUUUUCCCCCAAACUUUAAUUUAAAAAUGUGUGUGUAAAUAUCUUAUCAAGAAUCAAAGCACAAAAACUCAACAAGUUGGACUACAUCAAACUAAAAAUACUUCUAUGCAGCAAAAGAAACAGUCAAUGAAAUGAAAAGGCAACCUGUAGAAUGAGAGAAAAUAUUUGCAAACCAUAUAUCUGAUAUGGGGUUUAAAAUCUAAAAUAUAUAUGAAACUCAUGCGACUCAAUAUAAAAAGAAAAAGCAAAGGGCCUCAAGCCAGCAGCCUGAUCUCCAGGGUCUGCUAGCCUCUGUAAAGCGGUUUACUGUUAUUUUGUGCUUGAAAUAAUGUCCCACCAUUAAUUCAGGCAUGUUUCUUUGUAUCCUCUUUAGCUCUCUAUAUCCCCUGUAUUUUCAGUUGAACUUUAGUUGCACAUUUGGGAUUUUCUUAGUAUUAGCUUUGUCCUUUUUUUUUUUUGAUUUGUUUUGUUAAUCCUAACCUGAGUAUAUUUUUUCCAUUGUUUUUCAGAAAAAGUAGAAAAAAGGGAGGGGGGAAAGAAGGAAAGGAGGGAGUAGAGCGAGAGAGAGAGAGAGAGAGAGAGAGAGAGAGAGAGAGAUAUGAGAGAGACACAUUGACUGGUUGGCCUCUAAGGGGAGACACGGGGGUGGGCAAGGAACGGGGGAGCAGGGAGCUAACUGGCAACCCAAGUACCCAGGUACAUGCCCUUGUCUGGGAAUCCAGCCCAUGACCAUUUGGUGCAUAGGUUCACCCUGACCACUGAGACACACCGGCCAGGGCUAGCUUUUAAUCUGUGUCGCAGAGGUAUUGUGUGUGGUUCAUCAGGUUCCAUUGUCCUCUAGCUUAUGCUGCUUUUGCUCCAAGUCACCUUUUGUUUUUGUCUCAGGUACCAAAUAUAUUUUCCUUUUUUUGGUCAUCUGAUAUCUGAUAAAUUCAUAUUCUCACUGGCCUUCUUUCUUCAAAUGACCAUUUUUUCACUUUAGUAUUGUAUCUAAAAUCAUUCCUUGCUUUAUUUUAAAACAAAAAAAUUAGGUUUCUUUUGAUUCCUGAAGCAGCAGAUAGCAAUGUUAUCUUGAAUACUGGUAUCUGCUAUUUUCUGAGUUCUUUGUGGAAAACACUGUCCAUUUUCAGGUUACCUUUUCUUUUUUUUUUUUUUUGUUUGCAUGUUUUCUUGCUUGUCUUUUUUUCCUCUUGUCUGUCUGUUAUCAUAUAUCUUUUUUAAAAAAAUAUUUUAUUGAUUUUUUACAGAGAGGAAGGGAGAGGGAUAGAGAGUUAGAAACACCGAUGAGUGAGAAACAUCAAUCAGCUGCCUCCUGCAUACCCCCUAUUGGGGAUGUGCCCACAGCCAAGAUAUAUGCCCUUGACCGGAAUCGAACCUGGGACCCUUCAGUCCGCAGGCCGACGCUGUAUCCACUGAGCCAAACCGGUUAGGGCUGUUAUCAUAUAUCUUGGUGAUAGAAAUAAUUUACUGUGAGUGUCCCUUCCUGCUGAGGUGAUGAAAGUGGUUACCUCUUUUU